UACGGAGGGUGCAAGCGUUAUCCGGAUUUACUGGGUUUAAAGGGUGUGUAGGCGGAUAUUUAAGUCAGAGGUGAAAUCUCCGAGCUCAACUCGGAAACUGCCUUUGAUACUAUUUAUCUUGAAUUUUGUUGAGGUUGGCGGAAUAUAUCAUGUAGCGGUGAAAUGCAUAGAUAUGAUAUAGAACACCGAUUGCGUAGGCAGCUGACUGGACAAAUAUUGACGCUGAGGCACGAAAGCGUGGGUAGCGAACAGG
rnacentral:rRNA from 1 species